rnacentral:lncRNA from 1 species
GCCGUCUGUGAUGCAAAACCCAGGAACCAAAGAUAAAUGUUGUGCCCACUUCGAACGCGAUGGUGGGCCUAAUGAUGACUUGAGCCAUCGAAUUCACCAGUAGAUUCUCAGCGAGAGCUCCUACCUGGCGCGCCAACUGUCGGUGUUUAGACUUGGCAACCUACCGAGGGGCUACCUGAGGUUGUGUUUUAUGCGUGGGGCUCGCUGAGAUCAGGAACUCGAAGGUGAACUCGAACACACAAUUUAGACAGGUUCGAGCCGUUUAGAUCGCGUAAUACCCUACGCCCUGUGUUGUAUUGAUUGAACUUGUUUGGAGGGUGUCCCUGCCUCAUCUUAUAUUACCGGAGGCAGGGUUACAGGUCGGUUGUUUACAAGAAUACUAGUCGGAUUCGACUAGAGUCUUACUCUAAUUGGUACGAGUAGUUUUCUAAUCAUCGACUAAUUUUUAUCCUCCACAUAGACCACGCUGUCCUAUACUGAUACGUCUCGGUGUGCAGUCCUGUAUUUAGGACUGUGUAAACUUUUUGGUGGGCUUAUA